rnacentral:tRNA from 1 species
CGGGAUGUUCCGCAGCCUGAACGCACAGAGAGCGAAGCGAACGCUUCUGCUUCGGGAGCAGGGGGUCGCUGGUUCGAAUCCAGUCAUCCCGACCA